AUCGCCGCAACUUCCACAAACGUCUACGACCGCACCUACAUAUAUUUGCCUGUUUACAAUUCUAAUUUUAAAAAGCCAAUCCUGUUCUUAGUGAUUACAAUUAGACAUCGAUUAGCUGUUUAAAAUUAGUAUUGUAAACAUGCAAAAAUAUGUAGGUGCGGUCGCAGACGUUUGUGGGAGGGGCGGCGAU